CGAGGCGAAGCAACGUGCUGAGCCGUAGCGAAAGCGAGUCUGAAUAGGGCGUCCAGUCACGGGCCGUACACGCGAAGCGGGAUGAUCUAGCCUGGGCCAGGAUGAAACGCGGGUAACACCGCGUGGAGGUCCGAACCGGUGUUUGUUGAAAAAAGCUCGGAUGAGCUCAGGCUAGGGGUGAAAGGCUAAUCAAAUUCCGUUAUAGCUCGUUCUCCUCGAAAUGCCUUUAGGGGCAGCCUCGGACGAAUACCUGCGGUGGUAAAGCUCUGGAUGGACUAGGGGCCUUACCCGGUUACUGAAUCCAACCAAACUCUGAAUGCCGCAGCGUACUAUCCGGGAGUGAGACGGCGGGGGAUAAGCUUCGUCGUCAAAAGGGAAAGAACCCAGAGCGCCAGCUAAGGUCCCCUAAAAUCAGUGCUCAGUGGAAAACGAUGUGGAGACGCUCCGACAGCCAGGAGGUUGGCUUAGAAGCAGCCAUCCUUUAAAGAAAGCGUAAUAGCUCACUGGUCAAGUGGCUCCGCGCGGACAAUACAACGGGGC
rnacentral:rRNA from 1 species